rnacentral:rRNA from 1 species
UGGGGAAUAUUGGACAAUGGGCGAAAGCCUGAUCCAGCCAUGCCGCGUGUGUGAAGAAGGUCUUCGGAUUGUAAAGCACUUUAAGUUGGGAGGAAGGACAUUAACCUAAUACGUUAGUGUUUUGACGUUACCGACAGAAUAAGCACCGGCUAACUCUGUGCCAGCAGCCGCGGUAAUACAGAGGGUGCAAGCGUUAAUCGGAAUUACUGGGCGUAAAGCGCGCGUAGGUGGUUUGUUAAGUUGGAUGUGAAAUCCCCGGGCUCAACCUGGUAACUGCAUUCAAAACUGACUGACUAGAGUAUGGUAGAGGGUGGUGGAAUUUCCUGUGUAGCGGUGAAAUGCGUAGAUAUAGGAAGGAACACCAGUGGCGAAGGCGACCACCUGGACUAAUACUGACACUGAGGUGCGAAAGCGUGGGGAGCAAACA